GUGUUUUGCACUUAAGUCCCUGAACUUUACGCGUCCUGUCGUGGUCUUACCGCGGUUACGCCAGGACCACGGCCAAAGUGCCUCUCAGACACCCGCAACAGCAUUCUGCCACGGUCCUACUGUGGUUACGCCGGAACCGCGACAGACCAUCUUCAGUUCUAGUUUUUCCUGCCUUCGCUUGGUGCACUUUGUGGAUAUUGUAAGAUUGGCCUCUUUUCUCCGUAAUUGAUCCCAAAAGUACUCCAUAGAUUCCUUUUACUUGAUAUAGUCUGCAAAGCAUGAAAAACACUAAUCAUAGCAUUUUGUUAUCACUUUUUACCAUAUAAACUAUACAAGAAGGUGGUUCUUUAGGGCUUAAUUAUAGUCUAAUUAACCCAUUACCAAUACCCCACACUUAAAUCUUUGCUCGUCCUUGAGCAAGUUGAACCACACUUUUAGGCCUAAUCAUUUGAUGCAUUACCCUGUUUAUGUCACAGCCCUCAUUAUGAAAGAGCAACCUAAGCAGUGUAACAUCCCAACCUCAGAUGAAGACUCUAAUGCCAUGCCACACUCGUACUUACUCUAUAUACUCUAAACAGAUGUGAAAACUUAUUUUUUCUUCCUGAGUCACAUGCCCUCACAUCACAUAUAUGAGAGAAGUUCCACACACAUAUAUCACACCUCCUUUUUCCGCCCCGCGAGGGAGUAGAGGAGUAUUUCCAAUUAAAGGACAAUUGAAAUGGGAUUAUUUAUUAAAGAAUCAGAGUCGCAACUUGGGAGAUUUAUGGUGUCCCAAGUCACCGGUUUAAUCCCGAAUCGAGGAAAAGAAUGACUAAUUUCGAACCAAGGAAAAAGAUGACUCUGUUUAACAGUCUGCGAACCAGAAAUACGGAUAAGAAAUUUUGUUAACCCGGGAGAAGGUGUUAGGCAUUUCCGUGUUCCGUGGUUCUAGUACGGUCGCUCAACUAUUGCAUUUAGCCUUUAUCUGAUUAUAUUACAUGAAGAGCCUAUGUGCCAAUUUUAUGCUUAAACGUUUUUAUUUAAUAUAAUAUUUAUUUGAGAAAGUGAACGUUGUCUAAAGUGUGUUUUCAGAUUGCGCCGCAUGAAAUCAACCCGCAAUCCUAGGCACACUCUAUUCAAUGUUUUAGGAUUUGGAUUUGGGCCGCAUAAAAUACCCACCCGUAUUUAGGAAUGUAAUUUAUUAAAGUCAUGCCUAAUAUGGUCUAACGCGUUGUAAUCUUUUGGGAGGGUCGUAAAAUUCGCUAAACGACCCUUUUCGAUUUUCUAAAUAUUUUUAAACCUUUAUUGAAGGCCCCACAUUUUACAUAUUUUUAUUUUGGUGAGGCACGCCACACUUUUAAAGGGUAAUCCUAAAGUGGCUACAUUCUUCUAUUUUUGUCCGUCUCAAAAAUAAAAGAGAAAAUCCUGAUUAAUUACAUGCUUAAAAAUGAAACAUAUUAAUUGCUAGAUUAAGACAAAUAUUAGCGGAAAGAAAAAAAGAAAUUCGAAAUUAUAAGUAAAAAUAAUUCAAAAUUAUAAAUAAACUACGAAAUCCAACAACUAAUAUUCAAAAGAAAUCAAUUAUAGCUAGAUUAAAACUCACAUUGUUAUAUAAAAACUAUUGAGAUUAAUUAUUCACAAUUAUUUGUAACUAGCUUUAACCAUAAUUACUAAAGCUAAAAAAAAUUAUUAAACUUAAAUGUUAACUCAUAUUGCUUAAAUUCGCGCCUAUGGAUUAAUGUUCCUAGCCUUGCUAGGUAGAAUCAUACGUCAAAUAUGUUAAAUCUACUGAUUCUAUUAUUAACCAAAUAUGUUUCUCUGAAAUUCGCGGAUCUUCGUUACUAACAAGAUUCAAAGAUCACGCACCUCAAGUUGUUUCUACUCCAAUUUUUGCAAAUUCAAAUAGGGAUUUUUAUCUAUCAAUUAAAUUAAUUUAAAAAGAAAGAGAUCACGAAUUACUUUAUUUUAAUCAUGAGAACCAGUAAAGCUGAAGCUAUUAGUUAUGCAGUUCUUGCAACCAUGCGUCCUAUAAUUAAAUAAUCUAACAACUUUCUCAAAUUAAGCAAGAAUACAUAAUUGACUACCUUUAUCAUUCGUAUAGCAGGAAAAUGUAUAAUUAAUGUUUAACUAAAAUACAAAUGUACUAUAACUAAGUACAUAAAUUUCUGCCAUUUCAUUCCGUCUUCAAGGCGUACAACAGAAUGAUUCAAAAUAGUGUACCCGGUAUUGGAAUACAAAGAAGAUGAGGAUCAGUAGGAAGAAAUAGCAGCACACACACAGCAACAGCAGUUCAACAACACAGGAGUAACCCAGUAAUAGCGGGAAUAGCAGAAAACCCAGGAGACAGACCAAUAAAGAAGUAACCAGUUGCCAAAAAUAACUCUGAUAUUUAUCACUCAAGAAAAAGAAGCUUGAAGCUUUAAUGAACAAUAGCAAUUGAUGCUAAUUGUUAACAGUGAAGAAGAACAAAUUUUUUCUUUAAUUUCUAACUUUCAAAAACUCCCAGAAUUCUUCAGAUUCAAAAGUCUUUUUAUCUUCCCUCAAAUUCUGAAAAUAUUUUUCUCUACAAAUUCCUCCUCUUUUAAGUAUUAAAUGAGUCUUAUUUAUAUCUAAAAAACAAGACUCUCCCCACUAUUCUUUUAGCUAUUAACUAAACUAUUUCUGAUUUUAAUUAAGCAAAAAGUAGUCAACACGAACCCCAUAGUCCCCUCUUUUUCAAUGGUAAAAGAAGACCACAUUAUUACCCUCUAUUUACAUAAUUAUGUUUUGUCCUCUACUAUAAUAUUUUAAUCAUAUUUUUAUAUCUAGUGUACAAAGCACUCAACAUAAAUAAUUCAACAAGCUAUUAAAUUCCCGUAUUACCCCCUGAAAUUAUUGAAAUUACCAACUGACCAACAUUGAUUCUCAAAAACACCAACUUACUACAGCUAUAACCAAAUUACUAAUCAAAUUCAACAAUUAAUCUCAUGAACAAACUCCUAAUCAACAACAUUUAAGAAUCAUUUCAAACAAAUCAGAUUCACAUUUAAAGAUAAACUUACAAAAUAAUAAAUAGAUUCAAAUUACUAAAAAUUAAUCAUCAAUUGAACUCCAAACUAACCAAACCAAGAUGAAGGAUUCAGUGACUAAAUUAACACACUUUUAGAUUAACCCAAACAAGAACAAAUGAACAUUGUAAACAUUUUGAACGAAAACAAACUGACUUCAUAUGCCAGAAAUGAUGAACAACAAAGUAAAAACUCAUCAUGCCACUACUAAAUAAUCACAAACGAACUAGAAUCUUAUUCAUAUGCUCAUAUCAAAAUCAAGUGAAUAACCACCUACAUGCUAGCAGAGAACAAACAAAAAUCUGCUGAAUCAAAACUUAGAAAAUGCCAUAUAAGGCUUCGAAUAGAUCUGGAAAAACACGACGAACCGUAGACAAACCUCGACAUGGAAGCUUCGAAACUCGCUGGAAAAUAUAAAACUGAGAGGCAUGGCUUUGUGUGUGCGUGUGUGGUUGUUGGAAGGCUGGCGAUGGUGAGCUGGUGCGGCUGACCGGUGGAGACGAUGAAGCAGGUGGUUAUGGCGGACGUGAAGGAAACGAGAAGGGUUGGUCGUCUUGUUCGCUGGUUGAAUGACGAGGAGGUAGACUGGUGCUGGCUAGGAAGGUUCAGGCGAUGAAGGUUGUCCGUUCGUUGGUUGAUGAUGGGGGACGAUGGGGUGUUUAGAAGAAGAGGGAGCUGGAGGGGGGAUGUUUGUUGUUUGUCUUUGUUGGUGGCGACAGGGCAUCGACAUGGUGGUUUGGGGGGGUCAUUUGGUGGUCAUGGCAGUUGGGGGGCUAGUUUUUAGCUUCUCAUGGCUGCUUCUUUCUUGUGAAGAAGAUGGAGAUGUCCUAGGGUUUCU
rnacentral:lncRNA from 1 species